GGGACACGUGGUAUCCUGUCUGAAUAUGGGGGGACCAUCCUCCAAGGCUAAAUACUCCUGACUGACCGAUAGUGAACCAGUACCGUGAGGGAAAGGCGAAAAGAACCCCGGCGAGGGGAGUGAAAAAGAACCUGAAACCGUGUACGUACAAGCAGUGGGAGCACAGGUUUACCUGUGUGACUGCGUACCUUUUGUAUAAUGGGUCAGCGACUUAUAUUCUGUAGCAAGGUUAACCGUAUAGGGGAGCCGGAGGGAAACCGAGUCUUAAUUGGGCGUUAAGUUGCAGGGUAUAGACCCGAAACCCGGUGAUCUAGCCAUGGGCAGGUUGAAGGUUGGGUAACACUAACUGGAGGACCGAACCGACUAAUGUUGAAAAAUUAGCGGAUGACCUGUGGCUGGGGGUGAAAGGCCAAUCAAACCGGGAGAUAGCUGGUUCUCCCCGAAAGCUAUUUAGGUAGCGCCUCGUGAAUUCAUCUCCGGGGGUAGAGCACUGUUUCGGCUAGGGGGCCAUCCCGGCUUACCAACCCGAUGCAAACUGCGAAUACCGGAGAAUGUUAUCACGGGAGACACACGGCGGGUGCUAACGUCCGUCGUGAAGAGGGAAACAACCCAGACCGCCAGCUAAGGUCCCAAAGUCAUGGUUAAGUGGGAAACGAUGUGGGAAGGCCCAGACAGCCAGGAUGUUGGCUUAGAAGCAGCCAUCAUUUAAAGAAAGCGUAAUAGCUCACUGGUCGAGUCGGCCUGCGCGGAAGAUGUAACGGGGCUAAACCAUGCACCGAAGCUGCGGCAGCGACACUGUGUGUUGUUGGGUAGGGGAGCGUUCUGUAAGCCUGUGAAGGUGUGUCGUGAGGC
rnacentral:rRNA from 1 species